rnacentral:tRNA from 2 species
GUUCUCGUAGUUGAAUUACAACGGUGGUUUUUCAAGUCAUUAGUCCUGGUUAGAAUCCUGGCGGGAAUU